rnacentral:rRNA from 1 species
ACUAAGCGGAGGAAAAGAAACUAACCAGGAUUCCCCCAGUAACGGCGAGUGAAGCGGGAAGAGCUCACGUUGUAAAUCUGACUUCGGUCCGAAUUGUAGUCUGGAGAGGCGUGACCAGCUGGAGGCGGGGGCGAAGUCUCUUGGAAAAGAGCAUCAAGGAGGGUGACAAUCCCGUUCUUGCCCUCGCUUUCCACGCGUACGGUCCGUUUUCUACGAGUCGAGUUGCUUGGGAUUGCAGCUCAAAGCGGGUGGUAAAUUCCAUCUAAAGCUAAACACGGGUGGGAGACCGAUAGCGAACAAGUACCGUGAGGGAAAGAUGCAAAGAACUUUGAAAAGAGAGUUAAAGAGUGCCUGAAAUUGCUGAAAGGGAAGCGAAGGAAACCAGUGUCUGGCGGUUCCGCUUCUCCUCGGCCCCUCGGGGCCUUGGUUUGCGUUUCCGCCGUGGCCAGGGCUGGGUGUUGUCGCGGGAUGCUGCGGCUCGGAAGGUAGCGCCUCGGUUUCGGCCGAGCGUGAAUACCGUGCCGUUUCGUCGCGGCGGCGGCUGGUUCUGACGAAAUGGUUU